rnacentral:rRNA from 1 species
UACGUAGGGUGCAAGCGUUAAUCGGAAUUACUGGGCGUAAAGCGUGCGCAGGCGGUUGUGCAAGACAGAUGUGAAAUCCCCGGGCUCAACCCUGGGAAUUGCAUUUGUGACUGUACGGCUAGAGUGUGUCAGAGGGGGGGUAGGAAUUCCACGUGUAGCAGUGAAAUGCGUAGAGAUGUGGAGGAAUACCGAUGGCGAAGGCAGCCCCCCUGGGAUAACACUGACGCUCAUGCACGAAAGCGUGGGGAGCAAACAGG